GCGUCAGUAGUGCAACGGAUAGAGCACGCAUUCCUGAAAAGGGUGAGGUGCAGGUUGUAGUCCCGGCUGACGCG